CCUACGGGAGGCAGCAGUGGGGGAUAUUGCACAAUGGGGGAAACCCUGAUGCAGUGACGCCGCGUGAGUGAAGAAGUAUUUCGUUAUGUAAAGCCCUAUCAGCAGGGAAGAAAAAGACGGUAUCUGAGUAAUAAGCCCCGGCUAACUACGUGCCAGCAGCCGCGGUAAUACGUAGGGGGCAAGCGUUAUCCGGAUUGACUGGGCGUAAAGGGAGCGUAGACGGGAUAGAAAGUCAGAUGUGAAAGCCCAUGGCUUAACCAUGGAACUGCUUUGGAAACUGUUUGACGAGAGUAUGGGAGAGGUAGGUGGAAUUCUUGGGGGAGGGGGACAAUCAGUAGAGAGGAAGAGGAAUA
rnacentral:rRNA from 1 species